rnacentral:rRNA from 1 species
GACGAACGCUGGCGGCGUGCUUAACACAUGCAAGUCGAACGGAAAGGCCCUGCUUGCAGGGUGCUCGAGUGGCGAACGGGUGAGUAACACGUGGGUGAUCUGCCCCUUACUUUGGGAUAAGCCUGGGAAACUGGGUCUAAUACUGGAAAGGACCAUGCUGUAGGUGGUGUGGUGGAAAGAUUAGUUUCGGUAAGGGAUGAGCUCGCGGCCUAUCAGCUUGUUGGUGGGGUAAUGGCCUACCAAGGCGUCGACGGGUAGCCGGCCUGAGAGGGUGGACGGCCACAUUGGGACUGAGAUACGGCCCAGACUCCUACGGGAGGCAGCAGUGGGGAAUAUUGCACAAUGGGCGCAAGCCUGAUGCAGCGACGCCGCGUGGGGGAUGACGGCCUUCGGGUUGUAAACUCCUUUCAGCCAUGACGAAGCCCUUGUGGUGACGGUAGUGGUAGAAGAAGCACCGGCUAACUACGU